rnacentral:tRNA from 1 species
GCGCUCGUAGCGCAACGGAUAGCGCACUUGAUUCCGAUUCAAGCGGUUGUAGGUUCGAUUCCUAUCGAGCGCGCCA